CAAAAAGACAAGGAGCAUGUGUUUCAUCUC
rnacentral:piRNA from 1 species